rnacentral:rRNA from 1 species
UACUGCUAUCGAGGUUCGACUAAGCCAUGCGAGUCGAAUGUAGCAAUACAUGGCGUACUGCUCAGUAACACGUGGACAACCUACCCUUAGGACAGGUAUAAACCCGGGAAACUGGGUAUAAUCCCCGAUAGUCCUCGGCUGCUGGAAUGCAUCGAGGACGAAAGCUCCGGCGCCUAAGGAUGGGUCUGCGGCCUAUCAGGUAGUAGUGGGUGUAACGUACCUACUAGCCUACGACGGGUACGGGUUGUGGGAGCAAGAGCCCGGAGAUGGAUUCUGAGACACGAAUCCAGGCUCUACGGGGUGCAGCAGGCGCGAAAACUUUACAAUGCCGGCAACGGCGAUAAGGGGACCUCGAGUGCCAGGUUACAAACCUGGCUGUCGUGAUGCCUAAAAAGCAUUGCAUAGCAAGGGCCGGGCAAGACCGGUGCCAGCCGCCGCGGUAACACCGGCGGCUCGAGUGGUAACCGUUAUUAUUGGGUCUAAAGGGUCUGUAGCCGGCCGGAUAAGUCUCUUGGGAAAUCCAGCAGCUCAACUGUUGGGCUUUCAGGAGAU